AGCUGAAACUCAGCGUUCAAGAAUACUGCCUUUGUUAAAUGCCUGCAGGAUGAGACUUUUUGAUUAUCCCCCGCUCCAGCAAAAAACUGGAAGAGAGGAUGACAAAUGUUCUUCCUGACUUUGGGGAAAGAGCUUCAAGACCUUUGAAAGAAAAAAGAUUUUAUGAAUCCCUGCAUGUCCU